GGUUGUGGCUCAGUGGUAGAGUGCUUGCCUCACAUGUCUGAGGCACUGGGAUGGAUCCUCAGCACCA
rnacentral:tRNA from 1 species